GAACAGCAACCGGAAAGUUUGAGCGGUGCUCAAUGCUCCUCUUUGAGCGUAAUAGGAGAAGUUCCAGCUGGUAGUAGCGCAUUAACAGAACGAAACAAAACAUCUCCAACAUCACUGCCAUUGCUGCUGCAGGAGGAAGAAGACGAAGAAGCGGACACAGGCAACGAGGCUAGAGCAUCGAAGUCACCCGCAGCAGUAGCGGCAUCAGCAGCGACCGCAGCAGUAGCGCUAACAUCAACAACAAUCUUAGUUUUACUGCAAUUGAAAGGGAAAAG